rnacentral:rRNA from 1 species
UCGGGAAUAUUGCGCAAUGGAGGAAACUCUGACGCAGUGACGCCGCGUGCAGGAAGAAGGUUUUCGGAUUGUAAACUGCUUUAGACAGGGAAGAAACAAGACAGUACCUGUAGAAUAAGCUCCGGCUAACUACGUGCCAGCAGCCGCGGUAAUACGUAGGGAGCAAGCGUUAUCCGGAUUUAUUGGGUGUAAAGGGUGCGUAGACGGGAAUGCAAGUUGGUUGUGAAAUCCCUCGGCUCAACCGAGGAAUUGCAACCAAGACUAUAUUUCUUGAGUGCUGGAGAGGAAAGUGGAAUUCCUAGUGUAGCGGUGAAAUGCGUAGAUAUUAGGAGGAACACCAGUGGCGAAGGCGACUUUCUGGACAGUAACUGACGUUGAAGCACGAAAGUGUGGGGAGCAAACAGGAUUAGAUACC